UACGAAGGGGGCUAGCGUUGCUCGGAAUCACUGGGCGUAAAGCGCACGUAGGCGGAUUGUUAAGUCAGGGGUGAAAUCCUGGAGCUCAACUCCAGAACUGCCUUUGAUACUGGCGAUCUUGAGUCCGGGAGAGGUGAGUGGAACUGCGAGUGUAGAGGUGAAAUUCGUAGAUAUUCGCAAGAACACCAGUGGCGAAGGCGGCUCACUGGCCCGGUACUGACGCUGAGGUGCGAAAGCGUGGGGGAGCAAACAGG
rnacentral:rRNA from 1 species